rnacentral:rRNA from 1 species
AUUGAACGCUGGCGGAAUGCUUUACACAUGCAAGUCGAACGGCAGCACGGACUUCGGUCUGGUGGCGAGUGGCGAACGGGUGAGUAAUGUAUCGGAACGUGCCCAGUCGUGGGGGAUAACGUAGUGAAAGUUACGCUAAUACCGCAUACGAUCUAUGGAUGAAAGCGGGGGAUCGCAAGACCUCGCGCGAUUGGAGCGGCCGAUAUCAGAUUAGGUAGUUGGUGGGGGAAAGGCCCACCAAGCCAACGAUCUGUAGCUGGUCUGAGAGGACGACCAGCCACACUGGAACUGAGACACGGUCCAGACUCCUACGGGAGGCAGCAGUGGGGAAUUUUGGACAAUGGGCGAAAGCCUGGUCCAGCCAUUCCGCGUGCAGGAUGAAGGCCCUCGGGUUGUAAACUGCUUUUGUACAGAACGAAAAGGUUUCUACUAAUACUAGGAGCUCAUGACGGUACUGUAAGAAUAAGCACCGGCUAACUACGUGCCAGCCGCCGCGGUAA